GAUGAACGCUGGCGGCGUGCCUAAUACAUGCAAGUCGAGCGAACAGACGAUGAGCUUGCUCCUCUGACGUUAGCGGCGGACGGGUGAGUAACACGUGGAUAACCUCCCUAUCAGACUGGGAUAACUUCGGGACACCGGCGCUAAUCCCGUAUAAUAUAUUGCACCGCAUGGUUCAAUAGUGAAAGACGGUUUUGCUGUCACUUCUCGCUGGAUCCGCGCCUCAUUAGCUGGUUGGUAAGGUACCGGCUUACCAAGGCAACGAUGCGUAGACGACCGGAGAGGGGGGUAGGCCACACGGGAGCGGAGACGCGGUCCAGACGACUAAGGGAGGCAGCAGAAGGGAAUGGUCCGCAAUGGGCGAAAGUAUGACGGAGAAACGGCGAGUGAGUGAUGAAGGUCUUCGGAGCGGAAAAAUCUGUUAUUAGGGAAGAACAAAUGUGUAAGUAACUAUGCACGUCUUGACGGUACCGAAUCAGAAAGCCACGGCUAACUACGUG
rnacentral:rRNA from 1 species